rnacentral:tmRNA from 1 species
GGGGCUGACUUGGAUUUCGACAGAUUUCUUGUCGCACAGACAGCAUGCCAAGUGCUGCUUGUAAAACAGCAACAAAAAUAACUGUAAACAACGCAGAUUACGCUCCAGCUUACGCUAAAGCCGCGUGAGUUAAUCUCCUUUUGGAGCUGGACUGAUUAGAAUUUCUAGCGUUUUAAUCACUCCAUAACCUUAAGCUAGACGCUUUUAAAAGGUGGUUCGCCUUUUAAACUAAGAAACAAGAACUCUUGAAACUACCUCAAGGUUUUAGAAAGUUGGACCAGAGCUAGUUUUAAGGCUAAAAAACUAACCAAUUUUCUAAGCAUUGUAGAAGUUUGUGUUUAGGGCAAGAUUUUUGGACUGGGGUUCGAUUCCCCACAGCUCCACCA